AAUCCAUGUUGUGGGCAGCGUUGAAUCAAAUCUUUAUACCUUUCCCAAACUUCAUAGAGUGAGUCAAAAUCAUUUUUCCUUAAUUGACCAAUCUCACUCCUGAGUUA